GGAGUUACUGUAAAAGACCAGCAGGAGUUCGUCAGAGCUCUGGCAGCCUUCCUCAAAAAGUCCGGGAAGCUGAAAGUCCCCGAAUGGGUGGACACAGUCAAGCUGGCCAAACAUAAAGAGCUUGCCCCAUAUGAUGAGAACGGAUUCUACACACGAGCUGCUUCCACAGCAAGGCACCUGUACCUCCGAGGUGGUGCGGGGGUUGGUUCCAUAACCGAGAUCUAUGGAGGACGGCAGAGAAACGGUGUCAGACCUAGCCACUUCAGCAGAGGCUCUAAGAGUGUGGCCCUCCGGGUCCUCCAAGCCCUGGAGGGGCUGAAAAUGGUGGAAAAGGACCAAGAUGGGGGCCGCAAGCUAACACCUCAGGGGCAGAGAGAUCUGGACAGGAUCUCUGGACAGGUGGCAGCUGCCAACAAGAAGCAUUAG